rnacentral:rRNA from 1 species
CCUACGGGAGGCUGCAGUGGGGAAUAUUGGACAAUGGGGGGAACCCUGAUCCAGCCAUGCCGCGUGUGUGAAGAAGGCCCUCGGGUUGUAAAGCACUUUCAGUGAGGAAGAACGCCUGGUGGUUAAUACCCAUCAGGAAAGACAUCACUCACAGAAGAAGCACCGGCUAACUCCGUGCCAGCAGCCGCGGUAAUACGGAGGGAGCGAGCGUUAAUCGGAAUUACUGGGCGUAAAGCGCGCGUAGGUGGCUUGAUAAGCCGGUUGUGAAAGCCCCGGGCUCAACCUGGGAACGGCAUCCGGAACUGUCAAGCUAGAGUGCAGGAGAGGAAGGUAGAAUUCCCGGUGUAGCGGUGAAAUGCGUAGAGAUCGGGAGGAAUACCAGUGGCGAAGGCGGCCUUCUGGACUGACACUGACACUGAGGUGCGAAAGCGUGGGUAGCAAACAGGAUUAGAUACCCCGGUAGUC